AAGGUUGCUCAAGGCCUCCAGCUUUAAUUGUGUGCAAAGAAACAUUGGUCAAUGAGAAACAACUUUGUGCUGGAUUUAACAGCACACAACUGAAGCAACAGAUGUCCUUUGGCAAUUCCUCUGAAUCCCA